CUCAGUAUGGUCUCAACUGGGUAAAACAUUAUAGAGAAAAAUAUGGGAAUGUACCUAUGAGGUUAAGAAUGUUUGUCUCUGUGUUGAAAGUAUGAGUGUUUCCUUUUUCUCUCCUAUUUUCUGUAUCUUCCAGGUUAUCUACAGCAAGCAUGUAUUAUUUUUAUAAUAGAAAAAUGCUAUGGACAGAUAUAUGUGUGUAUAUAUAUAUACAUACAUAGAUGUUGUGGUACUUAGUAUAUGCAAAUGUGAAGGAGCCCUCACCAUCUCAGUUAGAAACGCUAACGAGAAUGAGAAGGGCUCUCUGUGUCCCCACCUAGUCAUCCCCAUCCUGCAAAGUCCUGUGGUUCCUGCCAACCCAGGAGCUUCUCUCCCUCUCUGCAAUCACCUCCCUCACUGACCUGUCAGCACAGAGCUUCCUGGACCAGAGGACUAGACACUUUCUUUCACACAGGCAACUAACGCAAGCAGAGUUUCCCAGAAGCUGAAGCUGGGUGUGCCUGCCUUGUGGUGACACUGAAAAGGCUCUGGUCUAGGAGGCACUGCUGGUGCUACACAAGCCACCUGGCCAUGGGAUCUCAGACAUCAGGAGACAUCGGUGGCUGCGAAAGGGAGUCUCAGGAGCCCCAGCUCGCGUCCUUCUACCUGGGGCAGGAAGAUCGUGACAAAAAAGCAAAAGCACAGCACAUGUGGAGCAUUGAAAACCCUAGGCUCCCAGGACAACGAAGGAAACCAAGCGAGGAGAAAAGUUCAGGGUACAGGGUCUGUCCAGAUGUGGCACAGAAUCCCCUGAGUAUCCCCCUUUCGGGAAUCGAUUAUAAGAUAAUAAUCAAGCCCAUGGCCAAAGGUUUAGGUCCAAAGAUGGGCUUUUCAGUGCCAUUUAUAAAAGUGGAAAAUUAGAAGUACCGUCACUGAAUGUGUUACUUUGGACGAGACACCCAUCUCUCCGAGCCCCAGUUACAUCAACUACAAAAUGGGAAAAAUAAUAAUCCUCGCUUUAUGAAUUGACUGCAAAGAUUAAAUAAGGUAGCACAUGGAAUGUGCUUUGCAUGGUACUUGUCACAGAGUAAGGGUCACUAAAUAGCCAUUGGUAAAAUUACAUCCAAAAAUAAUAUAUCACUUGCACAACUGGUGGUAUGCCAAAAGAGCCUGAAAUCAUACAGCAAUUCAAAGCGGUUUUCUUUCCAAAAAGAUUUACUGAUAAGGGGGUCAAAGCUACGGUAUAAUGCAUAAUAAUAUUUACCUAUAUUUUUUUCAUAUAAAAAUGUGCAUAUUUAUAAUGGAGAAGUGGACUUUAUUUUUCUUUUUGGA